rnacentral:tRNA from 1 species
GUUUAUAUAGUUUAAUAAAAACAUUACAUUUUCAUUGUAAAAUUAGAAACCUUCUUAUGAACA